rnacentral:rRNA from 1 species
GUGCCUACGGGGGGCAGCAGUGGGGAAUAUUGCGCAAUGGGCGAAAGCCUGACGCAGCGACGCCGCGUGAGGGAUGAAGGUCUUCGGAUCGUAAACCUCUGUCAGCAGGGAAGAACGGUCACUGUGCUAAUCAGCAGUGAAUUGACGGUACCUGCAAAGGAAGCACCGGCUAACUCCGUGCCAGCAGCCGCGGUAAUACGGAGGGUGCGAGCGUUAAUCGGAAUUACUGGGUGUAAAGGGCGUGCAGCCGGGAGUGCAAGUCAGAUGUGAAAUCCCGCGGCUCAACCGCGGAACUGCAUUUGAAA